GCAGAACAGCUGGCGGCGCGCUUAACACAUGCAAGUCGAGCGAGAACCAGCCCUUCGGGGCUGGGGACAGCGGCGAACGGGUGAGUAACACGUGAGUAAUCCACCCUCGGCAUCGGGAUAGCCCGGGGAAACCCGGAUUAAUACCGAAUGGCCCAUUCGCUCCUCGGAGAUGAAUGGAAAAGGUAGCUUCGGCCUCCGGCCGAGGACGAGCUCGCGGCGGAUUAGCUUGUUGGUGGGGUAAAGGCCCACCAAGGCGACGAUCCGUAGCUGGUCUGAGAGGACGAUCAGCCACACUGGGACUGAGACACGGCCCAGACUCCUACGGGAGGCAGCAGUGGGGAAUCUUGCGCAAUGGGCGAAAGCCUGACGCAGCGACGCCGCGUGAGGGAAGAAGGCCUUCGGGUUGUAAACCUCUUUCAGGAGGNACGAAGCCACUCGGGUGAAUAGCCCAGAGGGUGACGGUACCUCCAGAAGAAGCCCCGGCUAACUACGUGCCAGCAGCC
rnacentral:rRNA from 1 species